CCGUCUCGCGAAUGCUCUAGAUUAGAGUUUGAUCAUGGCUCAGACUUGAACGCUGGCGGCAAGGCCUAACACAUGCAAGUCGAACGGUAACUGGAAGCAGCUUGCUGCUUUGCUGACGAGUGGCGGACGGGUGAGUAAUGUCUGGGAAACUGCCUGAUGGAGGGGGAUAACUACUGGAAACGGUAGCUAAUACCGCAUAACAUCGCGAGACCAAAGAGGGGGACCUUCGGGCCUCUUGCCAUCGGAUGUGCCCAGAUGGGAUUAGCUAGCAGGUGGGGUAACGGCUCACCUAGGCGACGAUCCCUAGCUGGUCUGAGAGGAUGACCAGCCACACUGGAACUGAGACACGGUCCAGACUCCUACGGGAGGCAGCAGUGGGGAAUACUGCACAAUGGGCGCAAGCCUGAUGCAGCCAUGCCGCGUGUAUGAAGAAGGCCUUCGGGUUGUAAAGUACUUUCAGCGGGGAGGAAGGUGUUGAGGUUAAUAACCUCAGCAAUUGACGUUACCCGCAGAAGAAGCACCGGCUAACUCCGUGCCAGCAGCCGCGGUCAUACGGAGGGUGCAAGCGUUAAUCGGAAUUACUGGGCGUAAAAGCGCACCGCANGCGGUCUUGUCCAAGUNCGGAUGUUGGAAAUCCCCCGGGGCUCAAACCUGGGGAACUGGCCAUUCCGAAAACUGGGCAGGCUAGAAGUCUUGGUAGCANCGGGGGGUAAGCAAUUCCCAGGUGUUAANCGGUGAAAAUGCGUAAGAUCUGGACAGAAUAACCGGGUGCGAAGCGGCCCCNUUG
rnacentral:rRNA from 1 species